rnacentral:rRNA from 1 species
UACGAAGGGGGCUAGCGUUGCUCGGAAUUACUGGGCGUAAAGGAAGCGUAGGCGGACAGUUUAGUCAGAGGUGAAAGCCCAGGGCUCAACCUUGGAAUUGCCUUUGAUACUGAUUGUCUUGAGUACGGGAGAGGUGUGUGGAACUCCGAGUGUAGAGGUGAAAUUCGUAGAUAUGGGGAGGAACACCGGUGGCGAAGGCGGCCAUCUGGACGGUGGCUGACGCUGAGACGCGAAAGCGUGGGGAGCAAACGGG